CGGCUAGAUUGGCUCCUGCUUACCCCGCGAAACCCUCACUUCCCCCCCAUUGCUCGCCUCUCUCUUCCGUGCGCGGCAGCGGCGCAUCUAGCAAAUACUAGCAAAGAGGCAGGCCGGAGGAAAGUUGAAGGCCACCGUCAGUGCAUCUAGCAGCAGCAGCACAACUACAAUAUGAGGACAUGGAAGAGGAAGCUACAGAAAUAGUGAAACUGAAGGAUUUGAGUGGUGCACUAUGGGAUGAGGACAAGUCUAUGAUUGUUCUUGAUCAUGAGCAUUACACAAAUCAUGUUAAGGCUCAUCCAGAGGACGAACAAUACCUUAACAAGACUAUUAUUCAUUAUAAGGAGAUGAUGUAUAUAGCUGGAGGGAGCAUGGCUAUAGGGCAAUAUGCAAAAGACUCAAGUGACCCUCUUUCUACAGAAGUGGUUAAUCUUGAAGAAGAGACUGUCGGCGACCUGGGAACGGGGGUCCCCAGACUUGCCUGCCUGCGGCCCACGGCGUGGCUGCACCAGCGGCCCUGUACGACCCAUCUUCACCAGCAAACACACAAGACGCUCGCGAGGGGCCAAGUCUCGCGAGGCGGACGACACAAGGCCUUCUCGGGACGGCCCCACCAGGCUGGCUCGCGAGGGGCGGAGAGAUCAAGGCAAGGGACACCUCGCGAGGUUCUU